rnacentral:rRNA from 1 species
GCAAGUCGAACGGCAGCACGGGUGCUUGCACCUGGUGGCGAGUGGCGAACGUGUGAGUAAUAUAUCGGAACGUACCUUAUCGUGGGGGAUAACGCAGCGAAAGCUGCGCUAAUACCGUAUACGCCCUAAGGGGGAAAGCGGGGGACCGUAAGGCCUCGCGCGAUUAGAGCGGCCGAUAUCUGAUUAGCUUGUUGGUGGGGUAAAAGCCCACCAAGGCGACGAUCAGUAGCUGGUCUGAGAGGACGAUCAGCCACACUGGGACUGAGACACGGCCCAGACUCCUACGGGAGGCAGCAGUGGGGAAUUUUGGACAAUGGGGGCAACCCUGAUCCAGCAAUGCCGCGUGAGUGAAGAAGGCCUUCGGGUUGUAAAGCUCUUUUGUCAGGGAAGAAACAGCAGCUCUAACACAGUCUGCGAAUGACGGUACCUGAAGAAUAAGCACCGGCUAACUACGUGCCAGCAGCCGCGGUAAUACGUAGGGUGCAAGCGUUAAUCGGAAUUACUGGGCGUAAAGCGUGCGCAGGCGGUUAUACAAGACAGGCGUGAAAUCCCCGGGCUUAACCUGGGAAUGGCGUCUGUGACUGUAUGACUAGAGUGUGUCAGAGGGGGGUAGAAUUCCACGUGUAGCAGUGAAAUGCGUAGAUAUGUGGAGGAAUACCAAUGGCGAAGGCAGCCCCCUGGGAUAACACUGACGCUCAUGCACGAAAGCGUGGGGAGCAAACAGGAUUAGAUACCCUGGUAGUCCACGCCCUAGACGAUGCCGACUAGUUGUUGGGAAUUUACAUUCUCAGUAACGUAGCUAACGCCUGAAGUCGGCCGCCUGGGGAGUACGGUCGCAAGAUUAAAACUC